AUUGAACGCUGGCGGCAGGCCUAACACAUGCAAGUCGAGCGGAUGAAGGGAGCUUGCUCCUGGAUUCAGCGGCGGACGGGUGAGUAAUGCCUAGGAAUCUGCCUGGUAGUGGGGGAUAACGUCCGGAAACGGGCGCUAAUACCGCAUACGUCCUGAGGGAGAAAGUGGGGGAUCUUCGGACCUCACGCUAUCAGAUGAGCCUAGGUCGGAUUAGCUAGUUGGUGGGGUAAAGGCCUACCAAGGCGACGAUCCGUAACUGGUCUGAGAGGAUGAUCAGUCACACUGGAACUGAGACACGGUCCAGACUCCUACGGGAGGCAGCAGUGGGGAAUAUUGGACAAUGGGCGAAAGCCUGAUCCAGCCAUGCCGCGUGUGUGAAGAAGGUCUUCGGAUUGUAAGGCACUUUAAGUUGGGAGGAAGGGCAGUAAGUUAAUACCGUGCUGUUUUGACGUUACCAACAGAAUAAGCACCGGCUAACUUCGUG
rnacentral:rRNA from 1 species